UCUAAGGAUGAAUGAAAGUAAAAUUUCAUUCUAAAUAAUAUACAUAGGUAAUGUUGACCGUCCUCAUUUCUCUUCUUAAAUGCAGUGUUUCUCUUGAAUGGGGGCCGGUAGCUCAGUUGGUUAGAGCACACCCUUGAUAAGGGUGGGGUCGAAAGUUCGAGUCUUUCUCGGCCCACCAAUUAUAGAAUACGGGGGAUUAGCUCAGCUGGGAGAGCGCCUGAUUUGCAUUCAGGAGGUCAGCGGUUCGAUCCCGCUAUCCUCCACCAAACACUUAGCUAUAAAAAUUGUGAAUAAAAAUAAUAAUUAAUAUCAAUAUCUAUAUCCGAACAUUAGUAAUGUUAUUAGCUAAUGUUCAAAUAAAAAUUUGAUUCAACACAGAAUUUUUUUCUGUGCAUAAAU
rnacentral:tRNA from 1 species